rnacentral:Y_RNA from 1 species
GGCUGGUCUGAAGGUAGUGAGUUAUCUCAAUUGAUUGUUCACAGUCAGUUACAGAUCGAACUUGUUCUACUCUUUCCCCCCGUCUCACUACUGCACUUCACUAGUCUAUA